rnacentral:rRNA from 1 species
GGGACACGUGGUAUCCUGUCUGAAUAUGGGGGGACCAUCCUCCAAGGCUAAAUACUCCUGACUGACCGAUAGUGAACCAGUACCGUGAGGGAAAGGCGAAAAGAACCCCGGCGAGGGGAGUGAAAAAGAACCUGAAACCGUGUACGUACAAGCAGUGGGAGCACGCUUAGGCGUGUGACUGCGUACCUUUUGUAUAAUGGGUCAGCGACUUAUAUUCUGUAGCAAGGUUAACCGAAUAGGGGAGCCGAAGGGAAACCGAGUCUUAACUGGGCGUUAAGUUGCAGGGUAUAGACCCGAAACCCGGUGAUCUAGCCAUGGGCAGGUUGAAGGUUGGGUAACACUAACUGGAGGACCGAACCGACUAAUGUUGAAAAAUUAGCGGAUGACUUGUGGCUGGGGGUGAAAGGCCAAUCAAACCGGGAGAUAGCUGGUUCUCCCCGAAAGCUAUUUAGGUAGCGCCUCGUGAAUUCAUCUCCGGGGGUAGAGCACUGUUUCGGCAAGGGGGUCAUCCCGACUUACCAACCCGAUGCAAACUGCGAAUACCGGAGAAUGUUAUCACGGGAGACACACGGCGGGUGCUAACGUCCGUCGUGAAGAGGGAAACAACCCAGACCGCCAGCUAAGGUCCCAAAGUCAUGGUUAAGUGGGAAACGAUGUGGGAAGGCCCAGACAGCCAGGAUGUUGGCUUAGAAGCAGCCAUCAUUUAAAGAAAGCGUAAUAGCUCACUGGUCGAGUCGGCCUGCGCGGAAGAUGUAACGGGGCUAAACCAUGCACCGAAGCUGCGGCAGCGACACUAUGUGUUGUUGGGUAGGGGAGCGUUCUGUAAGCCUG